GUAAGCAUGGCUGCAAUCUAGAAGCCACACGCUUCCUCUCCUCGGCACCGAACGAAAUAGACUACAUCAAAGGAGCAUAAAAUCACCUUUUGAGGAACAGAAGGACUCCCCAGUACCCCACAGAGGCAAAGAGAUGAAUUAUACUCCUUUGUCUUCAUUCUUGGAAUCAACUCAACCUUAGCAUGAACACUGUCCUGGAUGGUAACCAUAGAGGAAUGAUUGUUUUUUUAGGAAUGCUCUCUGGAAAUAAUUUGCCAAAAAAGUAAGCUAGAUUCAAAAUCACUUAGCAUUCAGUAGCAGUGAUUUUAUCAUUUGAUUAUGUAUGACCCUUCCCAAACUGGUGAGUUGCAGUGCAAGUGCAUUUUUUUAAUGUCUCCAUGAGUUCAUAUAGAUCAGUCAUUGUAAACCUUUUAGACACUGAGUGCCCAAACUUCAACCUUCAUGCCACAUGUGAGCCACCCUCUUACCCCAGACAGGGGAGGGAGGAAGAGCCUCCACUGGGCUAUUGGAGAGAGGGGCAGGUGAUGGGAGAAAUGUCCUUAGGUGCCCAUGGAGAGGGGGAAGGGAGCAGCCCCCUCCAGCAAAGUGCCAUAGGUUCACCAACAUGGAUAUAGAACUUCUUUUUGUUGAUUCAGAUCACUUCUCCACAUAUACCCUUAAAACCCUUCAUAGAAUAUCUGUCUAACAGGAUGAAAGUGUUCCUUCAAUUUUCUAUUGUUUGUUGUUUUUUUCUCUUUUUUAAACAGGAAACAACAGUUCAUAGUAAAAAUAAAAAAAAUAUUGAACUUGGAGUCAGAAGAAGAGAGUUAACUCUCUGGAGAAAGGCUUUUGGCAACUUUGCGGCUUGGGCAACUUUGUGGCUUGGGCGGCUUUUGUGGCUUUUGGCGACUUUCAGGCUUUGGCAGACUUGGCUCUGGAACUUGAACCUGGAGGAGCUCAGUGUGAGAUCUCAGACUGCUUUUCUUGAAGGGACUACAUGGAGGAUGACUCUUUGGGGCCUAAAAGAAAUAUACAAAGGCCUAGAGAAAUACUUUCAGCACCUCUUUGGAAGACUUAAAUGAAAUAAUGGACAAAAAUCAAGCAGGAUGAGAAAUCAUGACUGAGUUGCAGCCUACAACUAUGAGAGAGACUCACACUAAUGCAAUACCCAAAUCAAAAAUAGCAAAAUAGCUUAACCUAAAAGGAGGAGAAUUGGAUCUGUUGUGCUUUGAAGGUUUUACUCUGAAAAGAAAAAUACAAAUAAACUCUUCAAAGAGUUACCA
rnacentral:lncRNA from 1 species